ensembl:lncRNA
AGCUGGGGAAGUUAAUUGCUUCCUAUACACACCCCUCCAUGCAGAGCAUAAAAGGGGUGUGCUGGGAGGGUUAUGGUUUGGCAGGAGGAAUGAGAUAGGAAGGAAGCUGUGUCCAGUAGUAGAGAUGAAGUCUGAACAUUCUACUUGCUGGUGCUUGCCCAAUAUUUCUUCAUAUUGACUGGAUUGUGUCUCGUAAAUGCUGCUAAUCCAAUGAACACUGAGCAUAAGGGUGACUGAAAUGAAGAUGUAAGGUGAAGAAAGAGCUCAAUACCAUCCAGUGGAGGAUUGUCCAGGUACCAGGACACCACUAUUUCAUGGUCGCAGUGAAUACACAUGAUUCUCAUGUGCUUACACACAAGCUAUCAACACAAGGACUAAACAUCCUACAGUUUCCCUAAAAUUGUGUCUUGAGCAACUCAGCAUGGAAAGCAGAUUUCAUUAAUUUGAAGAUAUAUUUGCUCCCUCAAAGAUGAAAAUGUUAAUAGAAAUGAGAGUUAAAACUCACUGAGUUCAUUAGGCUCCCCAAUUCUCCUUUGGUUCUGAGUAACAUCUCUUAGAAGCAUUUCUUUUUCUACAAGAAGAAAGUAGAAAUAAAUCUAUUCAUUGCUAUUGAAAAACUGACUACAAAUAGCUGUGAGUAGUUUUGUUUGAGUUGUAUCUGGUAUGAAUGACAACUUCAAAAAGUAAUGUGUAAUGUUGAGCAUCCUCAUGGUUUCUAUGUUAAAGUUUCUAGUGAAUAGUUUAGAAGAUAGAAAUUGUACAGCUUAUAAACUUACUAAGGUUUUGUGCAAAAAAUCGGAGUGGUGUUUGAAUAAUUAGUUAAGGAUGUAAUGCAAGAUAAAUAAUAAACAAAAAUUUUGAUAAAAUCAAGUUUUUUUAAUCACUUUCACAGAACAAGAGAAAAUAUCACCUUUUUUUUUUUUUUUUUUUCUAAUUUGAGUCUCCUAUCUUAAAGGAAAGUUAUUAUUUUCAUGAUCAUGGCUCAGCCACAGCUAUCUUAAACACUAAUGCUUUUCUCCAGUGUUUCAUGGAUUAUGAGUCCUUGGUACAAAAACUAGACUGAACUGGCUACUAAUUAUCUCCUCCUUGUUCUGCUGGGUCUUUCUAUAGCUCUUGUCACUACAAGACCCAGAUGACUUCUGAAAAUUUUCAUUGACUAUAGAACUUCCUCUAAUUAAAAAAUAAAUAAAUAGAAAAAAACAAAGCAGAUUAAUUUCCAAGUAAUCCUUCUCUGUGAAAUCUUUUCAGUUCCAUCAGUUCUUUUGUCUAGCUUACAUGUUAAGUUAAGCAUAGGUAUUGAUAGUCACAUCAAACGGCGCUGUCAAGGUUAAAUAAGUAAUGGUCCUUCAUUUUAUUUUGUACAAGACCUGGAUUUUAUUCUCAUGCCUUUCCAUACAGUCAAAUUAUAUGGGUAUUUUGAUAGACAUGAUUAUUGAAGGAGAUCAUUAAAGAAGUUUUGAUCGAAGGCACUCUGGAUUGUAGUGACCAUACCCUAAAUGAGUUCACAAUCUUAGGGAAUAUGGCCCUGGCAAAAAGCAGAGUCAGAAUGUAGAACUUCAGGAGAGUGAACUCCUGGCUUUUUAAGGAAUUAUUAAAUUGGAUCCCCUGGAAGACUGUCCUUAAAGACAUAGUAAUGGAAUAGAGGUGGCAUCUCUUUGAAGACAUCUUUCUGAGAGGACAAAAGCUCUGCACUCCCGAGCGUAAGAAAUCAAGCAGAGAAGGCUGGAAACUGGUAUAACUAAGCAAGAAUCUGCUGGACAAACUGAAGGAAAUAAAGGAAAAGAACAGGCAGUGGAAGCAGGGACACACGGCGUAGGAAGAAAACAGGGAUGACAUCUGAACAUGCAGAGUUUCAACCAUCAGGAAAGCCAAAGUGAGUUCUUUGCCUCAGUCUUCCCAGUCAGUCAGGCUUCCCAUGCCUCUUACAUUCCUGAAUCUCUAGGCAGGGGUUGGGGUAGCAAUAUCCAAGCAAUAGGAAGUCCAAGAUUACCUCAUAAGACUGAAUGUGUGUAAGUCUAUGGGACUGAAUGGCAUGUACCCCAGGGACCUGAUGGAACUGGAUGAUAUGGUUGCCAAGGCACUCUCCAUCAUAUUUGAAAAGUCAUGGCUGUAAGGCAAAGUACUUAGUGACUGAAAAAAAAAAAGGAAGCAUCACUCCCAUUUUCACAAAAGGGAGAAAGGAAGACCUGGGGAACUACAAGCUAGUGAGCCUAAUCUCUGUUCCAGGGAAGAUCAUGAGGAGAAGAUUUUAGAAGCUAUGUCACAGGCACAUGUGAGUUGAGGAGGUGAUCUGAGACAGCCAGCACAGCUUCACCAUGGGCAGAUGGUGCCAGACAAAUCUGGUGGCCUUACAUGAUGGAGUGACAGCAUUGGUGAGAAAAAGAAGUGCAACUGAUGUCUGCUACAUGGACUUGUGUAAAGCCUUUGGUAUGGUUCCACAUCACAUUCUUAUCUCAUAAUUAUAUAGAUUUGACGGGUGUACUCUGGUGAAUUAAGAAUUCUUUGGAUGGUCACAUGCAGAGGGUUGUUGUUAAUGUUGCUGUGUUCAGGUGGCAGGUCAUGGGUGGAGCUGCUCAGUGGUCUAUCUUGUGUGACAGAACAAGGGGAAAUGGCUUCAGAUUUAAAGAGGGGAGAUUUAGGUUAGAUGUUAAGCAGAAAUUCUUUACUCAGAGGGUGGUGAGGCACUAGACACAACCAAAGAGGUUGUGGAUGCUCCAUCCCUGGAGACAUUCAAGGCCAGAUUGGAUGGGAUCCUGAGCAGCUGAUCUGGUGGGUGGCAGCCCUGAUCAUGGCAGGGGUUGCAACUACAUGAUGUUUAACAUCCCUUCCAAUCUUAGCCAUUAUGUGAUUAAUUCUAUAAUUAUUAUUCCACUAGAGAACAUGGAAUGGGAGACAAUAAGUAACUGGAUUAGUAAGGUGAUUUGCUAUAAAAUGCACACUUACUGAUCUGCAGUCUUACAUCCUCACAUCCAUUUGUUUUAAGUCCUGUAGUGACAGUAAUGAAAUAUAAACUGGGACCUCCUCACAUCAUUCUACAGCUAGAAGAAUAUAAAGCAGACAAUAACACAAAAGUCAAGCCCAUACAUGCAAAAUAUGCCUGCAAAUUUAGGACCUUCCAGUUCAGCAUAUAUAAAUUAGUCAUCUUCUGUUUUAGAUACAGAAAGGCUUUUCCCUCACAAGGCUAUAUCAUACUGUUAUGCUUGGCACAAAACACUGCCAGGAUAACUUUGGGAAGAUAUUUGAUUUUAAAAGUUUUUGUUACGAAUCAGACAAGUAAGCAAGAAAUCACAAAAUCACAUAUCACUCCUGAUUCUAAAUAAUUCAGUGUUUGGUACAAGGUAUUCUAAUAUCUUUAAAGAGUCGACUAAGUAUCAUUAUACUGUUGUGCAUUGCCUUGAAAAACAGAGAAGCAACUCAAAAUUGCAAAAAAAUAUAUGAGCAAAGUACAGAUGAAAAUGAGUCUCCCCAAAUUUUAAGAUAUUGAUUUAUUAUAUCAAAGUAGAUGAUUAAUUACUGCUGUCACAAGAGCUUUGUGCACAGAUACAAACUUAUGUAUGUAUGGAAAAAUCCCAUUUUAUCUUCCAGAGGAGAAAUAUCAGUUUUGUGACUGAGGAUAGCAAGAUUGGAUAAGAAUCAGUUUACAAUUAACUACUAUUUACCAUUUAUAUACUUUUUUCCUUCAUAUCUUUAUAAAUAUUUCAGAGACUUAUUUUUGUCCCUUCGCAUUUUCACCUUUGAAGAACUAUAUUUAGGUUCAGUGAAUAUCUGUAGUAAAAUCAGAUUUAGACCUAGUAUAAAUAAACAUCUGAAAUCUUCAAAACCUUCUACAUAUUGUGCUACACAUGUCUGUGAAGGGGGAGAGAGAAAUUAUGCAACUAAUAAAUGAUUUAAGAAUGUGAAAUGAUUUUGAAUUGGUCUGGUCAACAAGGAAAGCAGGCAUUUUUCUAAGGUAUCUAUCAUAUAAGUAUUGUAGAUUUUUUCCUACUUCUAUUGGCAGCUUCUCUUAGCCUGCUAUCAAUAUAUUCCUUUUGUUUGUGACACAAAAGGCUUCCCACUAUAAUUUAGCAGGUUUUAUUUUCAAAGAAAAAUCUUGCAUUCUUUCUCUCUCCGUGUAUGCAUAACCUUUAUGAGGAAAGCUUUUACUUAGUGGGUGUUUUUUUGUUGUUUUGUUGUUGCUGUUUUUUUUUUUUUUUUUAAUUUCACAUUUACUAAUAAUAUGCUUUUCAGAAAAAGUAGGUGCUUUUACAGCAUCAUACAAGUGCUAUGUUUUGAAGGAGCAAUAUAGCAGUAUGUAUCUUUUUGCCCUUUGAUGUAAAUUCGUGAGGAAGAUAGAUUAUAGCAUCAAGAUGUUUCUCUGUGAGUAAUAAACUACCGAGCACAAAGUUCAUGGCUGAGAAUUGUGUGGGAUACAAGUGACUACCUUCACUACAAUCAAUUAUUAGGAUGAUUAUAUUGUGUCUGGAGAAUAUGAUGCUAAUGACUAGCUAACGCUUAGAAUACACACUCUUGACUUGAAAACCAAUGACAGUUAAAUGCAGCAAAGGGAAAGGCCUAUAUGUUGAGCUAGCAGCUCUCUAGUGUUGAUAAUGAAUAAUUAAAAAUAACAGUCUUUAUGUGUGGCUUGACAGUAUACAUGUCCUUUUAGUAUAUUCCGCUUUGUAAAGAACUUGGCACAAUGACAGCCAAAGAAAGGCAUCUUACCGCAUCCUGUACAGAAACUGUAUAGGAAAGCAGGGAGUUAAACACCCUCACUGCUGGGAGGGCCUAAGCAGGAUUAGCUAUGUAUUUACUGCUAACCUUCUACUACUCUGUCUUCUAAACAAAUAAAUAAUUGAAACCCAUUAUGUCUUUUAGGGGAGUUGCUCACAUGCUUUCUAUAUUCACAUCAAAGCAGAGAUCAGUGUCAAAGAGGCAGCCACAUUUAGCUGAGUCUCUCGGAGACUACUGAUUAAUUAGUUUUGCAUUUUGGAAGUGCAUCCAAAGAUGUAAAAUAGCGUUUGUUUUUACUAUUGCCAAAACUUGUUUAGGAGCUCUCUGGAGGGUGACGGUGAUGUACUCAAGAUGGUUGUGAAAGAAAAGGGCAUACAGUUCAGGUGCCAGAAAUCUCCAACCCC